rnacentral:rRNA from 1 species
UACGUAGGGGGCAAGCGUUGUCCGGAUUUAUUGGGCGUAAAGAGCGUGUAGGCGGUCAGGUAGGUCCGUUGUGAAAACUCGAGGCUCAACCUCGAGACGCCGAUGGAAACCAUCUGACUAGAGUCCGGAAGAGGAGAGUGGAAUUCCUGGUGUAGCGGUGAAAUGCGCAGAGUAUCGGGAAGAACACCCGUGGCGAAGGCGGCUCUCUGGGACGGUACUGACGCUGAGACGCGAAAGCGUGGGAGC